UUGUGAGUUUGGUAAGAGAGUAAGAUUAAAUUUGUCAUUUUUCUAAUUCAAACUCAUUCCCAUCAACACCAAAAAACUGAAACUUAUUCGUUUUCUCUAAUUUUUCUCCCCUUUCUUGAAGCAAUAAAGAGAUGGAAAGGUUUUAUUUUUUCCUUUGAAGCUCAAGAACGCAAGCCAAAUUUCACUAAAUCUAAUUGAAAAUCUACACUUUAUUCAUUUGAGUCCUUCAAAGUCGUUAGUUCAUUCUCCAACCAUUUACAUGUAGAUUUUAUAAAUUAUCAUAAUCCUCAGUCGUGCAUUCCUUUUUUCAUUGUGUGCUUCUAUUCACAGUGCAUUCUUUGCAUAUGUAUUUUACGUUUGAUUAAAUCUUUAUUGAUUAAACUUCUCACAUAAUAUAUGGGAUUGUAAUCAGACCAACCAAGUUGCGAAAAGAGACAUUGCACAACUAGUUUAUAAAAUAAUAGUGAUAUAAGAAGAAUCAUUAUUAGUUCAUAAAAUAAUAGUGAUAUAAGAAGAAUCAUUAUUAGUUCAGGCAAAGAUUGACCAUAUUAAAAAGAAAAAAAAUUAAAAGUGUGACUUAAUCGUUUCUCAAAUUGAAACUUUGUCCACUAGUUCGUUUGAGUUAAUUUAUACAAUAGUUACACAAUCAAACAAUUUACGCUAAGUGUACAACCUUUAACAAUUGUCAGUUAUUACCUAAUAAGACAUGACUUUUUUCUCGUCUUGAUAAAAUAACCACAAAAUUUUAGAAUCGACAAUUUUCAGUUACCACUUGUGAAUUUUUAUUGGCAUAACUUUACCAAUAUUGCAUUAUAAUACCAACAAUGACUAAACUUUUUUCUUGUAAAUAUGGCUUUAUUAAUAUAAUAACUUAUUUCAAUAUUCUAAAAUAAAAUUUUACUCAUGCAUAUGGAAGGGAUAUUUUAGGAAUAUACAUGUAAAGAAAAGAAGAAAGGGAUAUAUAAUGGGAUAUAAAUAUGGCUUUAUUAAUAUAAUAACUUAUUUCAAUAUUCUAAAAUAAAAUUUUACUCAUGCAUAUGGAAGGGAUAUUUUAGGAAUAUACAUGUAAAGAAAAGAAGAAAGGGAUAUAUAAUGGGAUGUAGGUAAUGCUUAGACACACAUUAUAUACAUCAACAUGUCUCCAACGUUAAACAUUGUUCAUAUAUCACUUGUAUUAUUGCUAGUAGUUUCAUCUGAAGCAGGCCUCUUUCCCAGAACAGUGCAUUUAGAGGUCACCAAUCGUUUAUCUAACAACAAACAAUUAAUCCUUCAUUGCUAUGAAAGAAAUGGUGAAGAUCUACGCGAGUACUUACUCUUUCCUGGCGGGUAAUUCAUAUAUGCUUUCAAGCCAAGAAAAUAUUUUUUUACAUCGAGCAAGUAUUAUUGUAGGGUUAAAAAGUCUGGUUCCGAUCUCAAAUGGUUUGUUUUGUGGUCGCAAGGUAGGGAUGGUGACGCAGGUCGAUUUAUCAAAUGGACUCUAACAGAUAGCAAAGCUUGUAGGUUGGGUUUUACAAUAUCUGAAUCUCUUUGUGUUUUCUACAAUAAAUGAAAUAAAAAUGUACCUUAAUCUUUAUUCGCGUUUUGGAGAAAGUUUAUUAUAAUAAGAAUAAACUAAAUUUAGGUCUUGACUUGGUUGCCAAAAGUUCAUUUAUAAAUAAAAUACUCAAUAUAAAACUUGGACGUUCAACAUAUUUAUCAACAUUUAAUAUAAAAAUUUGGUUGACGG
rnacentral:lncRNA from 1 species